GAUGAACGCUGGCGGCGUGCUUAACACAUGCAAGUCGAACGGGGGAAGGGGAGCUUGCUCCCCGGACCUAGUGGCGGACGGGUGAGUAACGUGUGGGCAACCUACCUGGUACAGGGGAACAACUGUGAGAAGUCACAGCUAAUACCGCAUAUGCUGUAGAGACCGCAUGGUCAUAGCAGGAAAGAUUUAUCGGUACAAGAUGGGCCCGCAUCUGAUUAGCUAGUUGGUAAGGUAACGGCUUACCAAGGCGACGAUCAGUAGCCGACCUGAGAGGGUGAUCGGCCACAUUGGGACUGAGACACGGCCCAAACUCCUACGGGAGGCAGCAGUGGGGAAUAUUGCACAAUGGGGGAAACCCUGAUGCAGCAACGCCGCGUGAAGGAAGAAGGGUUUCGGCUCGUAAACUUCUAUCACCGGGGAAGAAAUAAAUGACGGUACCCGGACAAGAAGUCCCGGCUAACUACGUGCCAGCCGCCGCCGUAA
rnacentral:rRNA from 1 species